UACGUAGGGGGCAAGCGUUGUCCGGAUUUAUUGGGCGUAAAGAGCGUGUAGGCGGCCAGGUAAGUCUGGUGUGAAAACUCGAGGCUUAACCUCGAGAUGUCAUCGGAAACCAUCUGGCUAGAGUCCGGAAGAGGAGAGUGGAAUUCCUGGUGUAGCGGUGAAAUGCGCAGAUAUCAGGAAGAACACCAAUGGCGAAAGCAGCUCUCUGGGACGGUACUGACGCUGAGACGCGAAAGCGUGGGGAGCGAACAGG
rnacentral:rRNA from 1 species